GUACGAGGGGGGCAAGCGUUGUUCGGAAUUAUUGGGCGUAAAGGGCGCGUAGGCGGUUUGACGAAGUCUGAUGUGAAAUCUCUGGGCUCAACCCCAGAGUUCUGCAUUAGAAACUGUCGGGCUUGAGUAUGGGAGAGGUGAGUGGAAUUUCCGGUGUAGCGGUGAAAUGCGUAGAUAUCGGGAGGAACACCAGUGGCGAAGGCGGUUGCCUGGAGCUUUGCUGACGCUGAUGCGCGAAAAGCGUGGGGGGAGCGAUCCGG
rnacentral:rRNA from 1 species